AUAUAUUUCUAUUAUGUGCGUGAAUUGGUAACUAAUUUAGUUACGAAUUCACGCACGUAAUACAAAAUUUGUAU